CAGCGUGCCCGAGGGAGGCUCCGCUCAGACCUCUCACCUGGGGGAGCUAUGCGAUUUGGCAAAUUUUUUUUUUUUUUAAACAAACACUGAUCAUGCCAUGUAAGCAGGAGUUGCUUCCUGAUUAUCAAACAGCCCAGAGUCCUUACUGGCGAUCUCUCUUUCUAGAUGACGAUGCAAUAAUUCAAUGAUGUUCUUAAAACUUCCAGUAAAUUUCUACCAGUUCAAAUCCUAUUGAGGCCAUUAAAUCAUGGCUGAUUCGGACAUAAAUAUUUCUCUCAUACGGUAACAUAUAAAUGGGAUCAGAUGGUCAAGGUAUUUCGGGGUCCUGCUUGGUUUCAACCUGUAGCCCAAGUGGAAUCAGCUUCUAAAGAGACUGCACCCAUAACUACAGGACAAUUACGUACAGGACAGCCCUCCUCUGUUACACACUUGGAUGAAAACUUGACUGCCACGUUGGCCUCAAUCGUUCACAACCAUGCUAAAGGGGAAGCAAACGCACCUUGAGAUCUCAGUGCUCCUCGUCUGGAACCCUGCUUAGAUUCAGUGAGCAUUUUAGAGGGACUGGAGCCUGGCUGCCUCAGACCAGGCACCGUGAAGGGGCGAGAAAUGAACCUCUUGUUCCUGUAAAGCUAGAUUCCUGAUGCUCCAGGUGGAGAAAAAUAGCCAUCGCCAGCCUCAUGCUAAGAAAAGGCUUAGGCCUUGAUUUACCCUCAGUCUUGUGUAGUGAAUUAAUCUUUGUGUUUUAUUUGUUCUUUUUUUUGUACUUAUUAAUACUUGAAUUUAUUGGUGGAACAGCAUGAUAAUACAUAAUAUUCCAAACAUGUAUAAGUGAGACUGCACAAAAUUUCCAUCUGAGACUCUGUGUCUUGAGAAAAUAAAUUAUAAUCAUGUUCUAGCUCUGCA
rnacentral:lncRNA from 1 species